rnacentral:rRNA from 1 species
GACAGAGGUGCCGAGCGUUAGGCGGAAUCACUGGGCUUAAAGCGUGUGUAGGCGGGUCCGUAAGUACCUUGUGAAAUCCCACCGCUCAACGGUGGAACUGCUUGGUAUACUGCGGGUCUUGAGCUGUCUAGGGGCAACCGGAACAAACGGUGGAGCGGUGAAAUGCGUAGAUAUCGUUUGGAACGCCAAUGGUGAAAACAGGUUGCUGGGGACAUGCUGACGCUGAGACACGAAAGCCAGGGGAG